AUACGUAGGGGGCUAGCGUUAUCCGGAAUUACUGGGCGUAAAGGGUGCGUAGGUGGUUUCUUAAGUCAGAAGUGAAAGGCUACGGCUCAACCGUAGUAAGCUUUUGAAACUAAGAGACUUGAGUGCAGGAGAGGAGAGUAGAAUUCCUAGUGUAGCGGUGAAAUGCGUAGAUAUUAGGAGGAAUACCAGUUGCGAAGGCGGCUCUCUGGACUGUAACUGACACUGAGGCACGAAAGCGUGGGGAGCAAACAGGAUUAGAUCCCCUGGUAGUCCACGCCGUAAACGAUGAGUACUAGCUGUCGGGGGUUACCCCCCUCGGUGGCGCAGCUAACGCAUUAAGUACUCCGCCUGGGAAGUACGCUCGCAAGAGUGAAACUUAAAGGAAUUGACGGGG
rnacentral:rRNA from 1 species